ACACGGAAAUGGUGGUGUUCAGUUGGAUUUUUAUAAAAAUCAGCAUAAAAUCAUUAAAUAGGUCAUCUACCAUCAAAAUCCUGAAGUGUUUACUUAACAGGAUUUAUGAGAUGUGUGUAACAGGUGUGUAAAGAUUUAGCACUCGUCCAUCUUUUUUCCUUGCGAGCAUGGCUUACACACUUUCGAAGUGCGCAUGCUCUGUUUUAAAUGACGUCAUUUGUGAUAUCAUCAUAAUGGAGUUUUCCAGGGAAAGAAGUUGGCCCAUCUGAGGUAAGUAAACACGGUUGAAAGAAAUUUUUUGCAUGUUAUCAAUGGGUUUUUUAUUACAUAGACUGAUUAAAUGGUGUUUCAUACCGAUCGUGUUAUGUACAAGCGACAGAGUACCCGAGUUACUGAAAAUUUCGAUAAUAAAAGUGAUAAAUCUGCGUGAACUGUUUGGUUUUUUUUUUCUUUUUGAAAUAUAAUCUUUGCAGUUAAUGUACUCUGUAUACUAAGAAUUCAUAUUGAUUUUGGAUAGAAUUUCACAAAAAGAAAUGCGCCAGGUCCUUAGGAAUCAACCCCCCUACCCCACCCCCCACACGGCACAUUUUUUGGAUGAUUGGAACGUAUACUCCUUUACAUCUGUCUCCCUACUUUGAAGUUUUUUCCAACGCCAUGACAUAAAUAAUAAAUAGAAAAAUAAAUAAAAAUGCAAAAAGAAAAAAGAAAUAUGUAUAUGUAUUCGGAUUGGCAUGUUCCACUUUGUCCGGGUUGAAAUCCCUGAGGAUGCAAAUGUACAUUACGCCGCACUGCUUGCAGUACGUACAUGGUACAGGCGUACCGCAUAGGUAUGUAACUACUAAGACUAUAAACCAAACAGAAUAUGAUAUGUAAAACUAUUACUCUGAAUGCAUUUUACUUGUUUACAAUGUAGCCUGUCGGGCUGUGGUGUCACACGCGUGGUUUACACGUGCACUUCAGGUGGCAGUGGAGGAAAUUCGAACGAUGUAUGGAUUAUUGUCUCCUGGUAACUUUGGCAGUUACCUUUUGCUUUCAAUCUACUUUUUAAGAAUAAUUAAACCCUCGCUAAUCAUUUCCAAGCUGCAUUUCGAUCUUGGAAGAAUGAUCUUCAGCUACAAUACAAAAUUAAGGGAUGAUGUUGUGUACUGAGUUUUUCUUGAUUGUUUACAUCUGUGAUUGUUUAUGUGAUGUAUAAACUGAUCAAGCUGUACAGUGUCAUGACAUAUAGUGGCAUAGCUUCCAUUUAUAUGCUUGCGCAUCAUUUUGUCAGAAGAAGAAAUUUCUAAAAUUAAGAUUUUUAACAUGUAUAUGAUUAUAUGUGUUUGUUUGAUUUUAGUAUAAUACCUGUAGAGAAUAUUUCAGUAAUAUGAAGUGCGACACAUUUAGACGCAUGCAUGUGGUGUUUGAAGGUCUCAUCCGAAAGACCAGCAACUUUCUCUUUUGAAUGCUAAAUAUGACGAUGGAGCAUUCACCUCCCUACCUACAUUUACACCCUAAAUAAAGUACAUUAGCAUGGCUCGAAACCAUGAUUUCUUCAUCAUGAAGUAAAUGCUCUGUUACCACUGAGCUACCAAUUUUUUUACAUGAAUUCAUAGCUAAAAAUUUUAAAAAUUUAUAACUAAUUUUUUGGUUAAUUCCAUAAAUAUUAUUCCUCUCUCUAGACACAAUUCAGGGUAACCCCCUGCCUUUGGGGAUAUAAGCACAUCAUUUCUUUCAGAAUGGCACAAUGUCAGGAGAGUUUUUGUUAUUUGUUAUACUCUUAGUGUUGAUGGCAUCUAUGAACAACAGGAUAAUGUUUUUAGAUUAUUAUUUCUGAUAUCAUAUUUGUAAAUUGUUUAUGAGGGGUUGUUAAAGUUUGUGGACAAAAGGACACACUUAUUAAAAAUUCAAAGUUAUGAUAAGUAAAUAAUAUAAGAGAUUUGUAACAAGAUUGUAGAUUUGAACAUUUUAAUUUUAAUUAAUUUUUAUAAGUAUUGAUUUCAGAUACAUGUAUGACAUUGCAUGCUUGAUCGGGGAGGGGGGCUACAGUUAGAUAAUAUUCUGGUCAGCACAUUUGAUAAACUACAAUUGUACAUGGAACUCAUUAAAUCACUUCUUUUUCUUUCAGUGGUCUUCAACUUUUAAUCUCCAAGAAGGAAAUGUAAUUAAAAGAUGAAUAAAGUAUCCCUAAGAAUACCAGAAGAAAGGCUGUGUUGAGAAAAACAGCCCUUCCUCAGUACCUCAGAACUAGAUGAUAGCCCGUGUUACUUUAUGCUGAAUAUGACACAGUAUAGAAGAUCUGAUCAUGAAGAAGUUACACCAUUGAUACACUUGCCAACUGCCAAAACUACUUUCUGAUAGUAUGACGAAAUUAGAAGAUAUCAUGGUGUAGUCAUGACACAAACUGCAAAUCAAAGAUUGUCUUCCCCAGAGGAUGAACAGAGUGCUUCACAUGGAUAACAUUUCCUUUUCGAGUUUUGAAAUUAAUUUGUCAGAAUGUUAUGCAUCAUGAUCAACAGAAAAGAACUUCACAGGUAGACCAAAGCUGACAUGGGAUGAGAUCCUAAAACGAGACCUAGAGUUUAGAAGAUUGGAUAGGAUCAAUCCACUGGGUCGCCAAGUGUGGAAGUACAAACUUCAACCUCGACAGGACAGCCAGGCCUCACCCUUGCAAAAAGAUUAAUUUGGCCUGGAUAGUCAAAAUGAGUGAUGAUGAUGAUAUCAAGGUCUGACACUGUAAGCUCAGUAAGGGUAGAUGCUGGCAAUGGAGCUGUUAAGCAAUACAACAAACAGGUUUAACAUUGAACAUGUUUAUAUACUUUUUUAGCUCACCUGAGCCAAAGGCUCAAAUGAGCUUUUCUGAUCACCUUUGCCUGUCGUCUGUCUCUCUGUAAACUUUUCACAUUUUCAUUUUCUUCUCCAGAGUGAACCACUGGGCCAGUUUCAAUCAAACUUGGUAUGCAUCAUCAAUAGAUAAAGGGUAUGCAAAAAUAGGGUGGGGUCAUUUAAAAAACCUUUUCAAGAACCACUGGACCAGGAAAGUUGAAUUCACAUAAAAGGUUCCUGUUUUUGUGCAAAUCAUGGUAUCCGGGGGUAGGGUGAGGUCACAAUCGAGUCGAGGAUCAAAGUUUUACAUUCAUAUAUAGUACAGAUUCAAGUUUGUUAAAGGUCAUGGCUCACAGGGGUAGAGUGGGGUCACAAUAGAGGAUCUAAGUUUUAUAUGUGAAAUAUAUACAAGGAAAAUCUUUUAAAAUCUUCUCCUAAAAAACUAGAUGCAGAACUAAACCCAAAAUCGUAGCUCUUUGAGAAGAUAUUGGGGCAAGUCAGAGCACUAGAGCUUCAGAUGAGCCCCUUAUUAAAAAUCUUCAAUUUACGGCACAGAAAAAAAGUGCAUGGUUAAGUCCCUCUAUCACUGCAUUCCUGCAUCGCUGUCUCAUGAAUUUAAUAUUAAAUAAUUCCUAACAUAUUUUCCCACUAUACUUGUUUCCAAGCAUACUUUCAAAUAUUCCUUAAACCCACAUAUAACCUAAAAACUCACAGCUUCAAGUGAUUUUCUUUGUUGAUGUAGCCAUGUUAGGUAUACGUAGCUAGUCAAUUUGAACCCCAGUUCAUUUCCAUACUCGUACUCAUUUUGAAACAUAAUGUCUGUGUGAACUAAUAUCCCCACAAAUAUUUUUUAGUGAAAUAUUUUGGAUGAAAUCAUCCCAGUUGGGUUAAAUACUUAUUAUUCAAAAACUGUAGGUUUGAAUAUUGAACUAAUCUCACAGCUUUCUUAAGUUUGGUCCCCAUCCACUCUAGUCUAUUUUUACGCUUAACUAUUGAAAUGGAGUGUAAGGGAUCAGACUAAGCUUUUAUAGCAUUAUCAAUUUUCAAAAGCUUUAGAAAAAUUAUACAAUUUUAGGUCACUUGAGUAAACUCAGAUGACAUAUUGCUAUUGGUCUGCGUCCGUUGUAGUCCGUCGAUGUUAACAAUUGAAUAUUUUUAACUAAAUUCUAUAACUGAAA